rnacentral:rRNA from 1 species
UCGCCUCUUGACACACAUAAGAGGUCCAGCCUGCCCAGUGACUAAGUUCAACGGCCGCGGUAUCCUAACCGUGCGAAGGUAGCGUAAUCACUUGUUCUUUAAAUGAGGACUAGUAUGAAUGGCACCACGAGGGUUAUACUGUCUCCUUUUUUUAAUCAAUGAAACUGAUCUCCCCGUGAAGAAGCGGGGAUAAAUUUAUAAGACGAGAAGACCCUAUGGAGCUUUAAACAAUUAUAGCACUGGCCCCCACCUCUUAUUCUUCUGAGAUAUAAUUAUUAUACAGGCCAACAUGACUAUUAGUUUUAGGUUGGGGUGACCGCGGAGCAAAAAUUAACCUCCACGUUGAACGGAGCUACUCCUGAGCUAAAAACUACAACUUUAAGCACCAAUAAACUGACAUCAAUUGACCCAAUAUAUUGAACAACGAACCAA